UAUUUCUUUUACCACGAAUAAAACUCUUUUGUUAAAAGCAUUUUGCACAAUUUUCAGCUCAUUUUACUUACUUUGUUUUGCAUGCAUUCGAGAGAAAGGAAGAGAGGCAAUUUCUACGGCUUACCUUUGAUGACAAAGAUUGAAGAAGAUUGUAUGAAAAAUUAGUAAAAGAAGAUGAAGAUGGACAGAAUGCAACAAGAAUUAAAGCGGUUAAGCUUGAUGCCUACAUCUACUGUAAAAUCUCCAAGGAUUUCAUUAGCUCUUCAAGAACAAGAUUAUUACACACAUAUAAGCUUCUCUCUUUCACUUCAUAAUUUCUUUUUUAUAGUUCUUUCAUUUUCAACAAAAGCUUCUUAUUAAUACACAGAAAAUAAAAUGGAUCAGUUGUAUUUGUUGAAUUAACUAACAGUAAGUUGUUGGUUUCCAACCUUGUUAACUGUCUUCUUGUUUCUUUAACAGAUUAUGGUGAGAGGCUGAGCUGGGAGCAGUAGGACAUCAAACAAGUGAAUUUUUCUUCAAUUCUAGAGCUCACACCUCUUGGAUUUUCACUAGAAAAUACUGAGAUCUCCAAGUGGUGGUGCCCAAUUGGCCCUUUUGAAUUAUGCUCGUGAAUUUCACAGAGAAGGGGUUUUAAUGUGAAGUUUUGAAAUCUUCAAGGGCAUCAUGGAUUAAGUUUAUCAGAAUAGCAGUUUCAUUCUCUGCUCCCAGCUUUUCUCCAGACUGAUUGAGAGCAUUGGUCUUUCUUUUCAUAGAGAGCCUAGAGCUUCUCCCAGAUGUUGAAAGUAGUGGCCACAUCAAUCAUCUGUCUCAACACAAUAGAAAGGAAGAGAGGCAAUUUCUAGGCUUACCUUUGAUGAUGAAGAUUGUAGAAGAUUGUAUGAGAAAUCAGUAAAAGAAGAUGAAUAUGGAGAGAAUGUAACAGGAAUUUAAGUGGUUCAGCUUGAUGCGUACAUCCACUGUAAAAUCUCCAAGGAUAUCAUUAGCUCUUCAAGAAUAAAAUUAUUACACACAGAUAAGCUUCUCUCUUUCUCUCAAUAAUUUCUUUUUCAUAGUUCUUUCAUUUUCAGCAAAAGCUUCUUAUUAAUACAUAGAAAGUAAGAUCGAUUGUUGUAUUAGUUGAAGUAACUGACUGUCCAUUGUUGGUUUUCAAUCUUGUUAACUGUUUUCUUUUUUUUUUUAACAGAUUAUGGUGAGAGGCUGAACUGGGAGCAGCAGGACAUUAAAUAAGUGAUUUUUUCUUCAAUUCUAAGUAUAACACUUGUUUUUGCAUUUUACAAAAAUUAUUUUAUAUUUGUAGUUUUCCUCCCUUAAAACUUACUAAGGAUCGUGGAAGGAAGUUAGCAACCUAGUUACGUUUAGAUUGGAAACUAAUACCCUUGUUGUUCAUACACAUUAGAACAAGAAAAGUUUAGAAUUAGUGUAGUUUGUAGUCCAUAGCUUCUUCUUUUAUAUACAUUGUAUUAUGACAAUUUAAUGAAUAUUCAGUGUACCUCUUAUCAUUGAAAUCUGCUACAUCAAUAAUUAGUAGGGAGAA